AAAAUGCGAUAAGUAAUGUGAAUUGCAGAAUUCAGUGAAUCAUCGAAUCUUUGAACGCACAUUGCGUCCGCCAGUAUUCUGGCGGGCAUGCCUGUUCGAGCGUCAUUUCAACCCUCAAGCCCCCGGGUUUGGUGUUGGGGAUCGGGCUGCGGUUCUACCGCGUCCCGGCCCCGAAAUCUAGUGGCGGUCUCGCUGCAGCCUCCAUUGCGUAGUAGCUAACACCUCGCAACUGGAACGCGGCGCGGCCAAGCCGUUAAACCCCCAACUUCUGAAUGUUGACCUCGGAUCAGGUAGGAAUACCCGCUGAACUUAAGC
rnacentral:misc_RNA from 1 species